AUUGAACGCUGGCGGUAUGCUUAACACAUGCAAGUCGAACGGUAACAGCGGAAGCUUGCUUCCGGCUGACGAGUGGCGGACGGGUGAGUAACGCGUGGGAAUCUGCCUACUAGCGGGGGAUAGCCCGGAGAAAUCCGGAUUAAUACCGCAUACGCCCUAAGGGGGAAAGCUGGGGAUCUUCGGACCUGGCACUAGUAGAUGAGCCCGCGUUGGAUUAGCUUGUUGGUAGGGUAACUGCCUACCAAGGCGACGAUCCGUAGCUGGUUUGAGAGGAUGAUCAGCCACACUGGGACUGAGACACGGCCCAGACUCCUACGGGAGGCAGCAGUGGGGAAUAUUGGACAAUGGGCGCAAGCCUGAUCCAGCAAUGCCGCGUGUGUGAAGAAGGCCUGCGGGUUGUAAAGCACUUUUAUCGGGAAAGAAAAACCCAGGGUUAAUACCCCUGGGCCUUGACGGUACCCGAAGAAUAAGCACCGGCUAACUCCGUG
rnacentral:rRNA from 2 species